rnacentral:rRNA from 1 species
GAUGAACGCUGGCGGUAUGCUUAGCACAUGCAAGUCGAACGGACUCUUCGGAGUUAGUGGCGGACGGGUGAGUAACGCGUGAGAAUCUGGCUUUGGGUUCGGGACAACCACUGGAAACGGUGGCUAAUACCGGAUGUGCCGAGAGGUAAAAGAGAAAUUGCCUGAAGAUGAGCUCGCGUCUGAUUAGCUAGUUGGUGAGGUAAAGGCUCACCAAGGCAGCGAUCAGUAGCUGGUCUGAGAGGAUGACCAGCCACACUGGGACUGAGACACGGCCCAGACUCCUACGGGAGGCAGCAGUGGGGAAUUUUCCGCAAUGGGCGAAAGACUGACGGAGCAAUACCGCGUGAGGGAAGAAGGCUCUUGGGUUGUAAACCUCUUUUCUUAGGGAAGAACAAAAUGACGGUACCUAAGGAAUCAGCAUCGGCUAACUCCGUG